GCGUUUUUCUCGCGACUGAUUCACAAGAAGUACACCUUCAGGUGGUAAACGCAUUAGUCGCUACUAUACUGAUUUAAUUGGAAUUCUUGUAGAUAUGGUACUUUCUAUUUUGGUUUGUUCAAGGUGUCAUAUUACCUGCGUCAGCUGUUGGUGCAAAGCAGAAAGCAACCCCUCCUUCUGUCCCUCUUCCUGCCCUUUCAGACAAGUGAGCACCAAACUCAAAAAGGGCUGAUGGGUGACCGAGCUCAAACUCUCCCCGCCGCCGCUCCUCUUCGUCAACGGUUUCUGAUCCUUGCAGUGCCAACCCCCGUUUUCCAGGACUUGUCCGGCCACCUUGAGCACCCUGCCCUGUACCGCGGGCGACAAUUUCGCGAUCAACGGGGCUACCAACCAAAUCGAGCUCGUUUUAAUACGGGCCUCGUUUUUUUUAGCCUCCUCCGACCUCGGACUGUAACUGGACGGAGAAUUCAGCUGGAAAACGUCUAUGGCCGCUUUGGCGACCGUGUCCAGCCAUUGGGAGAGUUCCGGCGUGUUUGCCCUGUACUGUUUGAACAUUAAUUGCAGGUCCAGCCAGGACAUUCUUAAAGUCCAGAGCUCUAAGUU